AUGUCUGCAGAGGGAUCAUCUAGGAUGGCCUCUGCUCCUCGAUCCACCAUCUCCACGCGUCAAGAUACAGUCCCACCCUCUCCUUCACUGGCCAAUCCUGCAGCUUGCUGUCCACCUACAACUGCCACAAACAACCAAUCAGCAACUACUCUGUCGCCAAGCAACAACCAGUCAACACUGGAAGUGAGUAGUCCAGUCCCUACACUGCGCAGCAUCAACAAGAAGGCCAAGUCCAGGCCUAUGGACAAGGACGGACGCUACCGGAACCGUCUAAGCCACACCUCCGCCCCCAUAUACCUGUCCAAGGCUAAGAAACCUGCCCCUGCACAGGACCUGGGGGGUGUAGGGGGAGUGGGGGGGGUCAACAACCGGCUGCCUGGACCGGGUGGGCCUGAAGACCAGCAGACACUGCCCCUGCCUCAGAGACAACGCAGGGACAACACACACAUCAGCACGGAGGAGGAAACAGGAGGAAGAUCAUCCCCUUCCAUUAUAGAUCUGCACAUCCUGGAGACAAACCAACACAUCUCAUCACACAACUGUCCCCAUCCUGACAGCUGCAGCUAUUCAGUAUCACUCCAAGGAACCAGGAACUCCUCCAUGUCACAAAUCACUCUACACAUGAGAUCCAGCGUCAGCGUGUGGGUCAAACAGUGUGCAGUCACCAGAGGACGUCUGUGUCCUGACCACAGAGAGACAGAGCUCUACGCUGCAGAAAGGACAGCUACUGAGGGGACAGAUCACCUGUGGUCAGUAUCUGUACUGUCAUUCCAGGACGUUACCUAUCACUUCAGAGUGGCCAAGUCUGUGAGUAUUGAAUAUAAAUACAUUUGA
rnacentral:lncRNA from 1 species